rnacentral:rRNA from 1 species
CCUACGGGAGGCAGCAGUGGGGGAUAUUGCACAAUGGGGGAAACCCUGAUGCAGCGACGUCGCGUGUGGGAAGACGGUCUUCUGGAUUGUAAACCUCUGUCCUCAGGGACGAAAAUGACGGUACCUGGGGUGGUAGCUCCGGCUAACUACGUGCCAGAAGCCGCGGUAAUACGUAGGGAGCAAGGGUUGUCCGGAAUUACUGGGUGUAACGGGAGCGUUGGCGGGGAUUCAAGUUGGGUGUAAAAACUAUGGGCUCAACCGAAAGUCGCACUCUAAACUGCAGCUCUUGAGUGAAGUAGAGGCAGGCGGAAUUCCUGGUGUAGCGGUGAAAUGCGUAGAUAUUAGGAGGAACACCGGUGGCGAAGGCGGCCUGCUGGGCUUUUACUGACGCUGAGGCUCGAAAGUGUGGGGAGCAAACAGGAUUAGAUACCCCAGUAGUC